rnacentral:pre_miRNA from 1 species
UCUUCAUUUCACGCACUCUCUCGACCGCUCGAGUUGCGAGAGAGUAUGCGAAAUGAAGAGA